UACGUAGGGUGCGAGCGUUGUCCGGAAUUACUGGGCGUAAAGAGCUCGUAGGUGGUUUGUCGCGUUGUUCGUGAAAACUCACAGCUUAACUGUGGGCGUGCGGGCGAUACGGGCAGACUGGAGUACUGCAGGGGAGACUGGAAUUCCUGGUGUAGCGGUGGAAUGCGCAGAUAUCAGGAGGAACACCGGUGGCGAAGGCGGGUCUCUGGGCAGUAACUGACGCUGAGAUGCGAAAGCGUGGGGAGCAAACAGG
rnacentral:rRNA from 1 species